rnacentral:misc_RNA from 1 species
GAUGAAGAACGCAGCGAAAUGCGAUACUUGGUGUGAAUUGCAGAAUCCCGUGAACCAUCGAGUCUUUGAACGCAAGUUGCGCCCGAAGCCAUUAGGCCGAGGGCACGCCUGCCUGGGCGUCACACGUCGUUGCCCCCCCAUCUACUCCUUCGGGAUUGCGGGGGGCGGAUGAUGGCCUCCCGUGCGCCUCGUCGCGCGGUUGGCAUAAAUGCCAAGUCCUCGGCGACGCACGCCCCGACAAUCGGUGGUUGCGAAACCUCGGUUGCCCGUCGUGUGCGGUCGUCGCGCAUCGAGGGCUCGAAAAAAUUGCCGGGCUCCGGCUCGGCUUUCAACGCGACCCCAGGUCAGGCGGGGUUACCCGCUGAAUUUAAGCAUAUCAAUAAGCGGAGGA